rnacentral:rRNA from 1 species
UACGUAGGGCGCAAGCGUUGUCCGGAAUUAUUGGGCGUAAAGAGCUCGUAGGCGGCCUGUCGCGUCCGCUGUGAAAUCCCGGGGCUUAACCCCGGGCGUGCAGUGGAUACGGGCUGGCUAGAGGCAGGCAGGGGAGAACGGAAUUCCCGGUGUAGCGGUGAAAUGCGCAGAUAUCGGGAGGAACACCAGUGGCGAAGGCGGCCAACUGGUCCGGUACUGACGCUGAGGUGCGAAAGCGUGGGGAGCAAACAGG